UUUUUUUGGAGAGUUUGAUCCUGGCUCAGGACGAACGCUGGCGGCGUGCUUAACACAUGCAAGUCGAACGGGGUGUUUAUUUCGGUAAACACCAAGUGGCGAACGGGUGAGUAACGCGUAAGCAAUCUACCUUCAAGAUGGGGACAACACUUCGAAAGGGGUGCU
rnacentral:rRNA from 1 species